UACGAAGGGGGCUAGCGUUGUUCGGAAUUACUGGGCGUAAAGCGCACGUAGGCGGAUCAUUAAGUCAGGGGUGAAAUCCCGGGGCUCAACCUCGGAAUUGCCUUUGAUACUGAUGGUCUCGAGUCCGAGAGAGGUGAGUGGAACUCCGAGUGUAGAGGUGAAAUUCGUAGAUAUUCGGAAGAACACCAGUGGCGAAGGCGGCUCACUGGCUCGGUACUGACGCUGAGGUGCGAAAGCGUGGGGAGCAAACAGG
rnacentral:rRNA from 1 species